GACGAACCGUGCGAACGUUGUUCGGAAUCACUGGGCUUAAAGGGCGCGUAGGCGGGUCAGCAAGUCCGGGGUGAAAGCUUUCGGCUCAACCGGAAAAGGGCCUUGGAUACUGCUGGUCUGGAGGAAGGUAGGGGCGUGUGGAACUUCCGGUGGAGCGGUGAAAUGCGUAGAUAUCGGAAGGAACGCCGGUGGCGAAAGCGACACGCUGGACCUUUUCUGACGCUGAGGCGCGAAAGCCAGGGGAGCAAACGGG
rnacentral:rRNA from 1 species